AUUGAACGCUGGCGGCAUGCCUUACACAUGCAAGUCGAACGGUAACGGGCCUUCGGGUGCCGACGAGUGGCGAACGGGUGAGUAAUGCAUCGGAACGUACCUUUCAGUGGGGGAUAACGUAGCGAAAGUUACGCUAAUACCGCAUAUUCUGUGAGCAGGAAAGCAGGGGAUCGCAAGACCUUGCGCUGAUUGAGCGGCCGAUGUCAGAUUAGCUAGUUGGUGAGGUAAAGGCUCACCAAGGCGACGAUCUGUAGCGGGUCUGAGAGGAUGAUCCGCCACACUGGGACUGAGACACGGCCCAGACUCCUACGGGAGGCAGCAGUGGGGAAUUUUGGACAAUGGCGGCAACCCUGAUCCAGCCAUGCCGCGUGAGUGAAGAAGGCCUUCGGGUUGUAAAGCUCUUUCGGCCGGGAAGAAAUCGCACAGGCUAAUACCUUGUGUGGAUGACGGUACCGGAAUAAGAAGCACAGGCUAACUACGUGCCAGCCGCCGCCGUAAGAC
rnacentral:rRNA from 1 species